UUCGGGUUCCGGGGGGAGUAUGGUCGCAAGGCCGAAACUUAAAGGAAUUGACGGAAGGGCACCACCAGGAGUGGAAUCUGCGGCUUAAUUGACCCAACGCGGGAAAACUCACCAGGUCAGGACACGGUAAGGAUUGACGGACUGAAGGCUCUUUCUCGAUUCCGUGGAAAGUGGUGCAUGGCCGUUUUUGGUUGGUGGAUCGAUCCGUCUGGUUAAUUCCGUUAACGAACGAGACCUCGGCACUCCGAAUAGCGCGGCGGACGUCGCGGCCUCCGGGCCGUCUUCCGCACGAGCUUCUUAGAGGGACCGUCCCCCGCCGGGGAAGGAGGUGCGAGGCAACGACAGGUCUGUGAUGCCCUUAGAUGUUCUGGGCCGCACGCGCAUUACACUGACGCGUCCAACGGGUGACUCCCGACCCGAAGGGGCCGGGGAAUCCGCAAGGCGCGUCGUGAUGGGGAUUGAACGUUGCAAUUGUUGUUCACGAACGAGGAAUUCCUAGUAGGCGCGGGUCAUCAACCCGCGGCGAUUACGUCCCUGCC
rnacentral:rRNA from 1 species